rnacentral:lncRNA from 1 species
GGGCCGGGUUUAUUAGCCUUUGUACUCCUACUGCCACUGUCUGAGACAUCAGAGGCACUCGGUAGAAGUUGGUGAAGAGAAAGAAAAGGCAGAGGAGAGACAGGAAAGCAGGACCAACACCGCAGACACAGAUUCUGAGGUGGCUGGAGGAGAGGCAGGGCAGAGAAACUUCCUGGAUGCUGGAAUGGGGUUCACUGUGAUACCUGCUGCUGGAUUUCAAACGUCAAAGGUGACGCUUUGCUGACCUUGACCUCUGACUGCCCUUUAGCUUUCCCAACCUCAACACAGGGCACUUAGAAACUGAGAUGUCAAGAAAUUAUGCUUCAUUGAACCAUGGGAAUGUUAUGUACAUGGACGUUCAUUACUGCAUUUUUUACAUGGGAAUGUAAAUAAUUGAAGAGAUUGUUAAAGGCUAAAUCAUGCACAUUCAAUAACUUUGUAAAAUAUUAAUGAUAACUGAAACACAAAUUUUGAUGUUCCCCAAAAAUGCUAACAUAUAAAACAAUACUGGCCAAUUAAAGAUAGAAAACAAUCCUAAUGAAGCUCCCCAACAGACACAUUAAAACUUCUCUGUACAUUAAACAUUUGGGAUUUCAAAGGAAAACCCAGAUUCAUUCCAUUCUUAAUACGUCGUUUAAAAAAAAAAAAUCUUAGGUAAUACAACAUUUCAUUUAAAAUUUACAAAAUUCCAUUACAUUCAUAAUUUCGUUUGAUCCUCAAAACAAUCUCCUGAGUUAGGCAGAACAGGUAUUACUAACAACUAACUCCAUUUUACAGGUAAGGGAACUGAAGUUCAGAAAGUACUUGGACUUAACAAAAGCUUUAAUAGGGCCACAUAUCGAAACCAAAUCCUCUGCUCAAAAGAACUAGAAUAAGUUAUCUUUUACAUAUUAUUCAUACUUAUAUCCUGUCAAUAUCCAAAGAUGUUUUGAAGUAGGCUGCAAUAAUAGACACCUAUCCAAUAAAAACAUUAAAAUGAAAAACAGGGGGAAAAAAAAACAGCAGGUGACAUGGGAGACAGACGAAGGUAGAUAGCAAAGACUGAGACUUAUAAUCUAAGAAAACUUCAUCUCUGACCUUCCAGUUCCAGGGAGAUAACGCUAAAGGAAACAAGAUGGUUUAUAGACUCAAACUGACAAAAGAGAGGUUGCAUCAGUUCUUAACUCUGAAACACUCCUAGCAGCCACAGCAAAUCUCUAGGACAACAUACCAAUGGCAUCAAAGCAAGAGUAUACUUCAGUGAUAGAGUGAAUUAAGUUCCCUGUUUGGGACCCAGGCCAGGGCUAGAGAAAAGAACUCUGAAAUGUAGAGCUCAAAAAUACAUCCUCUGUCGGCCAGGCGCAGUGGCUCACACCUGUAAUCCCCAGCACUCUGGAAGGCCGAGGCGGGCAGAUCACGAAGUCAGGAGUUGGAGACCAUCCUGCCUAGCACAGUGAAAUCCUGUUUCUACUAAAAAUACAAAAAAUAAGCCGGGCAUGGUGGCAGGCUGCGGUAGGAGAAUGGAGUGAACCCAGGUGGCGGAGCUUACAGUGAGCCGAGAUCCUGCCACUGCACUCCAGCCUGGGCAACAGAGCAAAACUCCGUCUCCAAAAAAAAAA